rnacentral:rRNA from 1 species
AUACGUAGGGGGCGAGCGUUAUCCGGAUUUAUUGGGCGUAAAGCGUGUGUAGGCGGUUUGUUAAGUUUAAGAUUAAAGCCCGAGGCUUAACCUCGGUUCGUCUUAAAAACUGGCAGACUUGAGUGCAGUAAAGGCAAGUGGAAUUUCUAGUGUAGCGGUUAAAUGCGUAGAAAUUAGAAGGAACACCAGUGGCGAAGGCGGCUUGCUGGGCUGUUACUGACGCUGAGACACGAAAGCGUGGGGAGCAAAUAGGAUUAGAUACCCUAGUAGUCCACGCCGUAAACGAUGAGUACUAAGUGUCGGGUAACCGGUGCUGAAGUUAACACAUUAAGUACUCCGCCUGAGUAGUACGGUCGCAAGGCUGAAACUCAAAUGAAUUGACGGGG